CCUAUGGGAGGCAGCAGUGGGGGAUAUUGCACAAUGGGGGAAACCCUGAUGCAGCGACGCCGCGUGGGUGAAGAAGCGCCUCGGCGCGUAAAGCCCUGUCAGCAGGGAAGAAAAUGACGGUACCUGAAGACGAAGCCCCGGCUAACUACGUGACAGCAGCCGCGGUAAUACGUAGGGGGCAAGCGUUAUCCGGAUUUACUGGGGGUAAAGGGGGCGCAGACGGCGAGGCAAGCCAGGAGUGAAAGCCCGGGGCCCAACCCCGGGACUGCUCUUGGUACUGCGUGGCUAGAGUGCAGGAGGGGCAGGCGGAAUUCCUGGUGUAGCGGUGAAAUGCGUAGAUAUCAGGAGGAACACCGGUGGCGAAGGCGGCCUGCUGGACUGCAACUGACGUUGAGGCCCGAAAGCGUGGGGAGCAAACAGGAUUAGAUACCCCAGUAGUC
rnacentral:rRNA from 1 species